rnacentral:tRNA from 1 species
GCCCAGGUGGCGGAACCAGGUUAACGCGCACAGAUUUUCGCGCACGGCUGGAGACCGUGUGGGACUUUGUCCCGUCUGGGUUCAAAUCCCAGCCUGGGCG